rnacentral:rRNA from 1 species
UACGGUGGUCUCAAGCGUUGUUCGGAUUCAUUGGGCGUAAAGGGUGCGUAGGUGGCGCCGUAAGUCGGGUGUGAAAUUUCGGAGCUUAACUCCGAAACUGCAUUCGAUACUGCCGUGCUUGAGGACUGGAGAGGAGACUGGAAUUUACGGUGUAGCGGUGAAAUGCGUAGAUAUCGUAAGGAAGACCAGUGGCGAAGGCGGGUCUCUGGACAGUUCCUGACGCUGAGGCACGAAGGUCAGGGGAGCAAACGGG